CACAGGUCUGCCGCUUCCCAGUGAUACUACUGGUUGCCUGGGCCAUCGAGUUGAGGGACAGUGAAGAGGGAUGGGCGGCCUUGUUCUGAGUUCUAGGCUGACCGCCCUGCGAGAAUGUGGAGUCAGAGCCACAACUGGGAGGGGAGGUGCAGUAGGCAGAAGAGGGAGCCCUUACUCUCACUCACCUGGCUGCGGCACGGGGCUGUGUCUCCAGCUUCAGGAGUCUUCACCCCUAUGGCAGAGAGGGCCACCCUUACUGUUUGCCUCCCACCUGGACCCCUUCUGGGCCAGGGUCAUCUCCAGGGACCAAGCCCCAGGGCCUUGGUUCUCUACCUGGGAGAGUGUCCAAAACCAGUCUCUGGGCUGCCACCGAGCUCACUAGCUUCCCCAGAUCCAGCGGCUGCUUCUCGCCUGGCUGUGGGAACAGGUCAGCAGCCUGCAGGACAGGCAGCCCGUUCCCCGCUGUCCCUCCUCUGCCCUGCUGUCCCCCAGCUCACCAGGCACAGUGCCACCUGCUGUGGGCUCAGGCCGUGCUUCGUCAGAAUGGGCUGCAGCGCCUCCUGCAGUCGCUUGGUGGGCUUGGCGGAGAUCCGCACCACGCGAUCCAGCGCCGCCAACUCGAGCCUGCACGGGACCCUAGCGCUGCGGAACCGCGGAGAGCCGACCCCUCCUCUCCCCCAACCCAUCCCGGACGAGGCCCAGGAGGGGGCGGAGCCUAAACUAGGGGGGGUGGGACAACUUGGGGGUGGGACCUCAGUCCCCGGGACGCGGUUAGCACCAGGGACAGGACCUGAGAGGGAGUACAGCAGCCAGAACUGGGACCCAAGCCUGGGAGGAGGGGCACUCACUCGAAGGUGAUCCUGUUCUCCAGCCGCACUUCCUGGUCCGCCAACACGGUGCAGUCCUGAUCCAGGACCAGAGCCUUCUGCGGAUGCCAGUCAGGGUCUCAGAGUCCCUCCCUCCGCACCCCUAACGAUCCCCAGGGUCCGAAGGAACCACCUCACUUCCACCCAUGGCCUCCACUGGGGAUCCCUACGGGUCAGAGGGAAAGGCGAUGGGCAGGUGAGCGAUAGCGAUGUGGAUGGAAUAAGACACCUGGCUGAGUCGGAGCCUAGCCAGGGAGAAGGGUGGCAAGAAGGUUGGACAGCCUUGGAAAAGAAACGGAGUUAUGGGAAACAUGGGGGUGGGAUGAGCACGAAAUGGUAAUGAGGCUGCUUGGAUACGGAGCAGGCUUAGGUCCUGGAUUAUGGAGCUGCCUCUUCUUGGGCCAGGCCAGUCCAGGACCCACUUCCUGGAUGGCUGCCCACUUUUGUCUCAGGCAUGUGAAAUCCAUGGAUGCAUUUCCUCCCUCACCACCCACCUUUGAUCAGCCACCCAGACCUUGUCCCUUUUUUGACACUUGUCCACUUCUCUCCAUCCCCACCUACUAAGGACACUUCUUGUCUCCUCACUGCAACAAGAGCUCUUCUCCCAGACCACUGUGAGGCCAGAAGGAUAUAAAGUAUCUGGCACAGUGCCUGGCACAUAGUAGCUGCCUCUUUCGUGAAGUCUUCCCGGAGCCAGCCAGAAAAGCUUACUUUUCCCUAGAAACUCUCUGAAGCUUCGGCUCCUCUUCCCUGAUCACAUCCUGCCUGGCUUACCGCCAGCCUGUGGACCUGGAGGACAGAGCUCAGAUUUACAAAUAGGAGGAAGGGGGCAUUCUCAAAGCUUGCCCAAACUCCCACCCUGACUCUUGUCUGUGGCCUCCGACCCUCACCCUUGCGGAAGGACUUGCGGAGCGGGCGGCCGCCAGAGCCCUCAGCAGAAGGCUGGUGCCCCAACUCCUCCACGCCCAGCGGCAGCGACUUCCCGGGCUUCAGCUUCGGUUUCUGCGGGUGGAGGAAAGGCGCUGGCUCAGGGCCGGACCCCAGCCUACGUGCAGACCGUGGACACAACCCUACAGAUCUGCGCCCGGCCCACUGCCUCCCACUGCCCCUCGUCCGCACCUUCCUGGUGGAGUCGGGGCUGCCGGGGCUGGAGGAGCCAGGUUCCCGCAGGGGGCGUCCCUCGGCCUCCGCCAGGAGACAUUCGCGGUACAGCGGGGACUUGACGAACCGCGCAUAGCUGUCGAACUUCAUCAAGUUGAAGAUCUGCGGGACCCGCGCCGGGGCGGUGAGCCGAAGGGGGCGCUCGACUUGCCCCCAGCUUACCUGGCCCUGUCCUCAAGGUUAGCUGGGUCCCCAACCUAGCAGCUGAGACCUUAGCCCCUCCCACGCAACUCCUUGAUCUAGCCCAGUGCCUACUCUUGGCCCCGCCUCGACCUCUGCUAGGCUCCACCGCCCCUAGACCCUGCUCCACCGUAGCCUCUGGUACCGCCCUCUGACCCGCGCCCUGCCCCUGCAUUUUACUUUGGUGCGGGCAUCCAAAUCCACAUUUGCUCCUCUCCGUAAGCAACUCCAACCCCAUCCCACCCCUGACAAUCGGGCUUCGCCCUUGGAUCUAGUCCCACCUCUUGUCCUUUCUUCCAAGGCCACUCCCCCUAAUCCCAAACCGAGGCCCCUGGGAACACUCACCUGGAGCUGCUGUUCCCGGAACAUGUCCGGUCGAGGCUCUGCCAGCACCUCCUCGCCUAGCCAAGCCUGCCGGUCUAUGUUCACUGGGCUCAGUGCCUGGCUGGACAGGAACUCCCGGUAGAUGUGGCGGGCCUCCUGAGCGAGCUGUUGCAGGAGGGACAGGUGAAGGUCAGGGGCAUGACCCAGGCUCUGGUCCCACCACUCUGCCCCAGCUCGUCUUUUCCCCACCUGCUGGGUGUCGCUGGCAGGGAUCUGCUGGAAGCGCUCACAGGCCUUCCAGAAAGUUACAUUCUCAGCACUGAACUCCUUCUUCAGGAACUCCUGGUGCACAGAAGGAAGAGGCAGGCAGAGACACAGAGACCCAGUCAGGGGAUGUGGUCAAAGAGAUUGGGAUAGAGAUAGGGCCAAGAGGCCAAAUCAGACAGAUAGGGCCAGACAGACAGAUGGGGCCAGAUCAGAAGGCACAGAGAGGAAAUGGGAGGCAGAGACAAGUUCCCUGCUGAGAGCAAAGGAAGAAGAUGCCAAAGAAAGGCUGGAUGAGGCAGCUGACACAGGAAUUCCACUCUGGCCAGCUUGAAGCUCCAUCCAUAUCCUCUCCCAUGCCGGCCACCCUACCCCCGCCCCCCACCUGGUGGCCACUGCCAUCUGCCCUCCCUAUCCCAUCCCAGGGCUUACAGUGAAAUAUGCCAGCCCCAGAGGGUCCUGCAGCAGCCGCUCAAAGGACAGGCCCCAGCUGGCCACAGGCUGCUCCUCGGUGGAGAAGGGGCUGCUGGGGCCACUGGGGAGGCUGUGGAUACUGAGAGAGCUUCCUCGGCCAUCACCCUGGCCCUGGGGCCCUGCUGUGCUGCUCAGCUCUGUAGGUGGAUAGACAAAUGGUGGUGAGCUUUGUGGCCUUCCCCAGCCCUUGGCCCAACCCCAUCAGUAGGUAUUUUCCCAGGAAAGAUACCAAGAGGUGUCCCCACCCUUUUCCACAUACCCUCCCCCACCCCAGUCAGGCCUCCUCUGUACCCUCUGUCACUUACCUCCAUCUGAGACAGCCAGAACCUACAAGAGACCCAAGGUAGAUAGUCAGAGCAGAGCCCGGGGUAGAUUCUCAAGGGACAGCUCUGGGCUCAGGCCCCAGGACUGGAGCUUGUUUUCCUCUCCCUGGGGGGCCAUGCUGGGCAUUCCCAGUGAGGUCACUGCUUGCUCAGCAUUUUGCUCAGGCUACUCCCGGCUCCCCUUCCAUCAUGUGCCAACCACUGUGUGCUGGAAUUUAUGCCAGUUACUUUCCAUUUGCCCCUGGUUCCCUCCUCCCUCAGCACUUGCUGGGUAAGCCCAGAUGUACAGCAUGGUGAGGAUCAGCACAGACUUUGAAUCUUGUCUCUGCCAUUUACUAGCUGAGUAACUCGUUACUUGUUUGUUUGCAUCUGUAAUAGGAGAUGGUGAUAAUAAUAGUAACUUACCUUCUGGGACUAUUGUGAGGAUCAAAUCAGUUUAAUACAUUUCCAGCACUGAGAACAGUGGCCAGCAUGUGGCAAGGGCUGUAUCAAUGUUUGCUGGUGUCUUUGAGGAAGGAAAGGUGUCUCUGUAGCCAGUGAUCUCUUUGUUGCAACUGUUUCCUCUUGGAGAGGAAGACCCUGAGAGACCAUGGGCCCCACCCCAUCUUGGGCUGGGAUCAGGAUGCAAUUUUAGAAUGUAAAGCAGUCAUUCUCAAACUCUAGUGUGUAUUAAAAUGACCAGUAGGAAACCACCUCCAGAGAUUCUGGCUCAGUAGGUCCAGGAUGGGGUCUGAGGCUCUCCAUUUCUAACAAAUUCUCAGGCAAUGCUGAUGCACUGGUCCAUGGACCACAUUUUGAGUAGCAUUGCUGCAGAGACCAACUUCAUCCUCUCCCCCCCCCACCCCCCACGUACAACUCUGACUUCUCUGGGAAUCCAACCAUUAGUGAAAUAGAAAAACUCUCCUUUCAAAAUGACUCUUGCAGUGGUUUCCCUUGGUCUUCCUACCUUCCUAGCAGCUCCUCCAGUUUCCUCCUCAUCUCCUACCCACACAAGAUGGCCUCCACCCCUCCCUGACUCUGCCUUUCCCUCUCCCACAUCUCCCCAGAUCCAAACCUACAUAGCCAACUUCCUGCUAACAUCUCUGCCCAAAUGUCCCACAAGCCCUUUGAACUCAGCCAGUCCCAAGGAGAAGCCAUCUCUGCUACUACCAGAGCAAGGCACCAAAACAGUUUCCCUACAUCCUGUCUUUCUUCCCACUACCUGGGCUCCUAGCACCAGGGCCCGAUCAUCCCCCCUUCCCUUUCUCUCUCUCACAUCCUCUUCCCACUAGUCCUGUCACAGGGACCACCUGUCCCUUUGUUACAUCCCUACUGGAAACAGGUCUACAAACAUCUCUCCCAGGAAGCCUCUCCCUGCCCUCCUAUCUGGGAUCUCCCUCUGUGCUCCCCAUUCUCACCUGGGAACACUCAGGUUCCAUAUCUGUGAGC